rnacentral:rRNA from 1 species
UACGUAGGGGGGCAAGCGUUGUCCGGAAUCAUUGGGCGUAAAGAGCGUGUAGGCGGUCCGGUAAGUCGGCUGUGAAAGUCCAGGGCUCAACCCUGGGAUGCCGGUCGAUACUGCCGGACUAGAGUUCGGAAGAGGCGAGUGGAAUUCCUGGUGUAGCGGUGAAAUGCGCAGAUAUCAGGAGGAACACCGGUGGCGAAGGCGGGUCUCUGGGGCCGAUACUGACGUGAGGAGCGAAAAGCGUGGGGGAGCGAACAGG